CUCCUACGGGACGCAGCAGUGGGGAAUAUUGCACAAUGGGGGAAACCCUGAUGCAGCGACGCCGCGUGAGUGAAGAAGUAAUUCGGUAUGUAAAGCCCUAUCAGCAGGGAAGAAGAAAUGACGGUACCUGAGUAAGGAGCACCGGCUAAAUACGUGCCAGUAGCCGCGGUAAUACGUAUGGUGCAAGCGUUAUCCGGAUUUACUGGGUGUAAAGGGAGCGCAGGCGGCACGGCAAGCCUGGUGUGAAAGCCCGCGGCCCAACCGCGGGACUGCAUUGGGAACUACCGGGCUGGAGUGCCGGAGAG
rnacentral:rRNA from 1 species